rnacentral:rRNA from 1 species
GUGAGGAAUAUUGCGCAAUGGAGGCAACUCUGACGCAGCCAUGCCGCGUGCAGGAAGAAGGCGCUACGCGUUGUAAACUGCUUUUAACCGGGAAGAAACCCCAGGACGUGUCCUGGGUUGACGGUACCGGAGGAAUGAGCACCGGCUAACUUCGUGCCAGCAGCCGCGGUAAUACGAAGGGUGCAAGCGUUAUCCGGAUUCAUUGGGUUUAAAGGGUGCGUAGGCGGAGCGUUAAGUCAGUGGUGAAAUCCUGCAGCUUAACUGUAGACUUGCCAUUGAUACUGGCGCUCUUGAGUGCGCUUGAAGUGGGCGGAAUGUGCCGUGUAGCGGUGAAAUGCUUAGAUAUGGCACAGAACACCAAUUGCGAAGGCAGCUCACUAAGGCGAUACUGACGCUGAGGCACGAAAGCGUGGGGAGCAAACAGGAUUAGAAACCCGAGUAGUCC